GCCCAGGAGGAAACAGCAAUGUCAGGAAUGAAGCUCUAAUGUUGCUAACAACAUUCUGGAAGAGACACUGGAGACAGCGUUGAGAGGUAUCUGCAGCAGGCUGUGUGACCCAGCAGCUGGAUAUUCUCAGAAGCUCAGUCCAUGAGACCUUUGAGAACAAGGCAGACAGGACCCCAGGGGAAUUUUCUGGCUUCUUCUUGCUCCAGCCAAAAUUCCAAAAUGGAAUAGUGUGAAGUGUGAUAAGACCAAAAUGGAAGGGAAGAGGGGAGGGGGGCGGGAAAGAACCCCAGAGGUUGCUGUUUUGGAAGACUGGGGAACUGGGGACAGUGGGGGAGGAGGAGGGAGACAAAUUCCUGCCUGGAUAUUCAAUGCAAGAAGAGUUUCCUUUUCUGAUUAUAACAGUUACUGGGUCAUCAGGAUUUAAUUUUUACUGAGUGCUGAGUUCCUAAACAGUGUGCAUCCAAAUGUGUCACCAUGAGGAAGGAACCGUUCUGUGAGGACAGCGUCACUAUCACUACAAUCCCACAGAAGCGAUGACACAGAAGCUUAAAGUGUGUCCUGUGUUGGAAGAUGAUCAGUGCAUUUCUGGACAUAAUUUCAGGUGACAACGAUUUGUAAAAGGGACUCUCAAGCCAAGCAUCUAUUGGAGACAGGCAUAGUGCUACAUAUCUGCAGUCUUAGUUUCUCAGAAGUUUGAGGACUGCCAGGGCAACUUUGUGAGACCCAAUCUUAAAAUCCAUCAUCAAUCAACUAGAAAUUGAUCCUGGAGGACUGGGGGGUGGGAGCAAUGAGAGGAAGAAAGGUUUCUGGGCAUAUAGAUCUUUUUUCUACAGAGACCUUCAUGUCGUUUAAAUUAUGAUG
rnacentral:lncRNA from 1 species